UUCUCAUUCUCUCUCCACAUUUGGGAAUUUGAUACGUUAAUUUCUCUCUCCCACCUUCUCAUUCUCUCUCCACGUUUUGGAAUUUGAUACAUCAGUUUCUCUCUUUUUUCUCUCCAAUUUAUUUUCUUAGUUUCUCAUUCUCACCAUAACUCUCACCACUUUCUUCUCCUAAAAUCAUUCAGUUAGAACUAACACUACAAGAUUCUCCACAAUAAACUCUCAUAUUAAUAGCCAUAAAUUUCAAAAAAUUUAUUAGGUUUAUUAGAGUUCAAAAUAGGAAAUCACAUUCGGAUCAAAAUUUGGAGUCUUUUGUUGAUUUAUACUGAAUAUGGGGAAGAAAAGUUCUUCAAAGAACUUUAGCAAGAAUCAUGCUUCUGAUUCUGAUUUUGAACAUUCCUAUUCUGAAAAUUCUGAUUUUGUAGAUUCUAAUAUGGAUAAUUCUAUUUUCGAAGAUUCUGAUUUUGAAGAUUCUCCACCAAAGGUUUUGAAAUAUAAACAUGCAGCAAGCCUUGUUGAGCUGAAAAAGAGAAAGCGUAAAGAUAGUGAAGAGGAUGCCAAUGUGGGUUUAAAACCUUCAAAGCGAAAGGCAAAAAAAAAAAAAAAAAAAAAAAAGCGGUGAUGAAGUAGAAAAUCACCAAUUGGAGGACUGGGGUUAUUAUGUCCCAAGGGAUAAAAAAUUCUACCAUGUAUUUUUGGGCAUCUCAAGGUCCAAUCACUGGUCCAAAAUUCUCAAAGUUCUCACUUCUCACUUUAGUUGGAAUCCUUUAGCCUUAUUUUUUAUAGUUAUAACAUUGUUGUUACAGACUUAUUCUUAUAUCAGCAGAUGUUGUUUCAGUGUUAACUUUUUUAGUUAAAUUAUUUAUCAUUUUCUAGUUAAAAUAUCCGAAUAGGUACAUGAAAGGAAUAGUGUGGCUAAUUAAAAUGAUAAUGGGGCAACCAAUCCCAAAGAACACCAAUCAGUUGAGGUUCAUAGAGUUGAGAAUGCCGAUGAUUUCUUGGAUGCAUCUUACCCCAUCAAUGAACAGUCUCAUAAUGAAAUGCUUUGUAAAAAUGAUGACAAGCGUGAGACGAUCGCAUGCCAAAUUGGAUCUGAAUGCAAUUCGAGUGAUGGCAACUUAUCGCCCGUUCAUGGGCUGCCUACAUUUGACGGUGGUGAUUAUAGUCUUCCAACGGACUCUCAAAUAAUGGUAGCGUAUGACCAGUCUAUUAAUCAACACUCGGGAUUGAAGGAUCCACUGGUUCCGCAGCCUAUCAAUACCAAAGACCUUGAAGUGAUAGAAGAUCCGACUCCCAAACCUCCAAAAAGAGCCAAGUUUCCUGGGAGAUUACAAAUGUCACCAUUCGUCACCAUUCCUGAUAGUGCUGAGAGUAGUAAAGCAGUUCAGAGUAAAAAAAAGAAAAAACUUUUACUAUCAAACAUCCAUUCAACGUAGAGAUUGGGGUAGAUGUUGACAUGGAAACAUCCAAUGAAUCAUCUCACUUUGAAAACAGAUGACUUAUGCAAGGUUGAGCAUUUGAAUCUCCACGUGCACUGAUCAUUAACACACACAAGAGAGUACCUAAAACAAGUAAACU